UCCCUGGUGUCUCAAAUGGUAAAGAAUCCACCUGCAAUGUGGGAAACCCAGGUUCCAACCCUGGGUUGGGAA
rnacentral:tRNA from 1 species